GUUGGUGGAGAUGAAAUCAUCCUCAUCGCCAGCCCAAUCGGCAUCUGAGAAGGCAUGUAUAGCCGAAGGUGUGUCCGCCCUGAGGAAGAUCCCAUGUGAUGGCGACCCGGCUAAGUAUCGGAGGAUUCUUUUUACAGCUUCCAAGUGCUGAUUGGUGGGACUGUGCAUAUACUGUGAGAGUCAAUUCACUGUGCAUAUUCUUUUUACAGCUCCUCAGCCUUCCUCUGUUGCUCUUCACCACCAUCACCUUUGCCUUCUCUCGCUUCUUCUCCUUCUUCUGGUCUUUUCAGUUCCAGUGGAGCUUUCUCAUCUCUGCUAAACUCGAGAGGUCGUUCUUGUCUGAGUCUUACCCGUGGCUUGAAGAGGAUGGUGGUUACUGACGAAUGCUUAGAACGCUUCCCUACACUCUCCACCGGUAUCCGCCUUACCGGAAAACGCAACCCUCUGCGACUGUGGAUUCAGAUUACUCGUCGAGAAGGAGCAGUAGCAACGAGCAGAGGGAGUCGAUUCUGCUUCCUGGAUGCGACUAUAACACUCUUGCUUACUCUUAUGGUCUUACCUCACACUCUUGCUACUGUUCUGGAAGGUUUUUCCUCUCUUCUUAAUAGGUAAAGGCUUAAGCUUUAUUGUUUCCUUUGAAGUUGAUUUGGUUCUUCCUCAGAAGGUUUGAAAGUAGGUUGAAGUUUGUUUGUUAUGAAUAUAUAAGUUUAAAGUUUGAGUCUUGCUUGUUGAUUAAUCCCUCUAAAUAGUCUCCAAACUCAUAACUCACCGUCAGAUCUGACGUCACCUCCGUUCGCUAAUUUAAUCAUUUUCCAAGUCUUAGAAACACCAAGGUCUCUGUCUUUGCUCUGUUCUUGGCUAAAGUUUGUCUUUUCCCUGUUCUUGUUUCACCUAUAUGCUCUAUGUUACAAUUUGAAGUCUUUAUUUGGCUAUAGUUUAUGUAUUUACUCUGUUUCUUGUCUGUUUUGCUCAUGAAGAAGACUAAAGUUUUUUGUCUUGAUUAAAGUAUGGUGCUUUGAUUGUUAUGACAGUGGAGAGGGAGCUUGGAACCAUGCUGAAUGCAUUUUUGGGGGUUGAUACACUUAAGCGAUGAAGAUGGUUUCUUUCUCGUAGAAGUUGAAGGUAUUAGCUGAUGAAAUCCGUACUGAGCUUCUUUCUGUGUUACGGAAGACCCAAAAGUCUGUGAAGCCUAGCUUGGCUGCGAUAGAGCUUACCCUUGCUCUGCAUUAUGUGUUCAUAUUCUGAAUUUCUGAUUUCUCUGUAUGCUUUUAUUUUUAAAGAUACAGACUUUGAAGACUGGAGAAUCCCAAAAGUGGUAGUUGAAUCCUAUGAUGCACCGGGACGGAUACGGGGACAGAAACGGGGACGGAAGCGGGGCGGAAAACGGGAAAAUUUAAAAAUUAUGGGUACGGGUACGGCAAAUAUAUACUAGUAAAAAAUAUAAAAUAUUUAUAAAAAAAUAAAUUUAUAUAGUGAAUCUAACAUAAUUAGAUAUAAUUUACUAUAAUAUGUCUAUUUUGCCAACUAAAAUUAGAAGCAAGAUAACAGUGACAGUUAAAAAAGAAUUGCACAAGCAUUAUGUCUCGUGAAAACUAGUCUUACUCAUAGCUAUGUUCUCUAACCGUCCCCAAGCCGUACCAGUGCUGUCCCCGUGAAGUACCCGUCCCCGAAACGUUUCCGGUACCGGUACGGCACCUAAAUAGACGUCCCCGUGCUACAUAGGUUGAAUCUACAAGUUCAGUGAAGAGAGGCGACCAUGAAGAUUGUGUUUAGAUUAGUUUCUGAGUUAGAUUAGGUUUAUUAUAUCUUGUUUAGUUCGAUAAACCAGUUGUAAUUUUGUAAACAAAUUUCGAUCUAUAAAAAACUUGUUUGUUUGUAUUUUGUGAUUUGAAAAAAAAAAACCUAAACCCUAAACAUGUUUUAAAUCUUUAAACAUAUAUUACAAAAUUUCAAUAUUUUCAUAACAGCUAUAAUCUUAAACUUAAAUUCAAAAUUUAGUCAUCUUAAAAGUCAAUAAGAACUUUUUUGCUUAUUUGAAUUUUGUAAUUAAACAAAAAAACCAAAAUCCUAAACCCUAAACAUGUUUAAAAUUCUAACAGAAUUUAAAAAAUUUCAAUCUUUUCAUAAUAUUAUUUUAAUCUUAAACUCAAAAUUUAAUCAUUUUAAAAAUCUAAUCUCAAAUUUAAAAUCAAAACUAUAAACACUAAAUUUUAAAUCUACACCCUAAAUCUAAUACCCUAAACCAGUAAUUUAAACCCUACAUAUAAAGUCAAAAAUCUAUAAGAUACACAUAUUACCCCAAACCAUAUACUCCAAAUUUAAUUAAUAAUAUAACUUCAAUCUUUUCAUAAUAUAAUUUCAAUCUUAAAUUUAAAGUCAAAGUUUAAUUAUUUUUAAAAAUAUUAUAUCAAAUUUAAAAUCUAAAUCUUAAAGCUACACCAUAAAUAUAAUGCCCUAAUCCCCAAAUUCAAACCCUAAAUAGAAAAUCAUAAAUAUAAUUACUACAAAUAAAAUCUUAAUACUUAUAUCAAACAUAAUUUUUUUUUAAAUUACAAACCAAAGUCAUCAAAAUAUUGAAAAUAGAACCACGAAAGAUAAUAAAGAAAAACAAAGAGGAAAAAGGAAAAAUCUAUUGGGUAACUAUUAAAAAAAAAAAAAAACUAUAGACCAAUAACCUCUCAUCACGCGGAUCACCUUUUGAACCGUAGGAUUCAAUUAAAUUAGUGGAUGAGAUUUUUUUAUUUUCUUUUCUCCUUUCUUUUUUUUUUCUCUUUUUCUCUCACAGAUCUCUCUCUUUCUCUUCUUGACCUCUGAUUCUUCCCUUCUCAUUUUUUUUCUCUUUCUCUCUCAGAGAUCUCUCUCUUUCUCUUCUCGACCUCUGAUUCUUCUCUUUCACUCUCUGUCUCUAUCUCUCAUCUUCUCACCAUCAACAUAUACGAAUCUGUCUUAACCCAUCAGCUCAAACGAAAUCUGUCUCCUCUAUUUCCGAAUUUGUGAAACAUGAGAUUUUAACAAGGAGACAGAAGAUUCGGCGGAGGAGUAGGAGAUGCGAUGAGCAGAUCGAACGGUGGCUCCAGCACCAGAUUGAAUCCUUGCUUCAGCAAUAGCUUCUAGAGCUAUUUGAGGAUUCUGUGUAGAAGAAGUGGUGUGUGACUGAAAGAUGGUGACGUUGGAGCGUUGUGGUGACGGAGACGACGGAUGCGCAACUGAUAUGCUGCGGUUUAUGUUUAGGUUUUGUUAAUUAGGUUUUGGUUAAUUAGGUUUGGUAUAAUGUUUUUUAAUUAAUUUUUGGUUUAAUGUGUUCUGUUGUAUUUGAUUUUUUAAUUCUGGUUUAGUGUAACAUUUAUUUGUAAUCUAAGUUUAAUUAAUAAAUAAUUUUUUUUAUUUUUAA